rnacentral:rRNA from 1 species
UCUACGGGUGGCAGCAGUGAGGAAUAUUGGUCAAUGGGCUUACGCCUGAACCAGCCAAGUCGCGUGAGGGAAGACUGCCCUAUGGGUUGUAAACCUCUUUUGUCAGGGAGCAACGCCGGCUACGUGUAGCCGGACUGAGAGUACCUGAAGAAAAAGCAUCGGCUAACUCCGUGCCAGCAGCCGCGGUAAUACGGAGGAUGCGAGCGUUAUCCGGAUUUAUUGGGUUUAAAGGGUGCGUAGGCGGAAUGCCAAGUCAGCGGUAAAAUCGCGGGGCUCAACCUCGCUCCGCCGUUGAAACUGGCGUUCUUGAGUGGGCGAGAAGUAUGCGGAAUGCGUGGUGUAGCGGUGAAAUGCAUAGAUAUCACGCAGAACCCCGAUUGCGAAGACAGCCUGCCAAGCCAUGACUGACGCUGAUGCACGAAAGCGUGGGGAUCAAACAGGAUUAGAUACCCGUGUAGUC